rnacentral:rRNA from 1 species
GACGAACGCUGGCGGCGUGCUUAACACAUGCAAGUCGAACGGAAGGGCCUGCUUUCCCUUGUGGAUUGCGGGUACUCGAGUGGCGAACGGGUGAGUAACACGUGAGUGAUCUGCCCCCAACUUGGGUAUAAGCCUGGGAAACUGGGUCUAAUUCCCGAUAGGACUGCAGGGUGGUGCCUGUGGUGGAAAACGAUUUUCUAGUGGUUGGGGAUGAGCUCGCGGCCUAUCAGCUUGUUGGUGGGGUAAUGGCCUACCAAGGCGGCGACGGGUAGCCGGCCUGAGAGGGUGGACGGCCACAGUGGGACUGAGAUACGGCCCAGACUCCUACGGGAGGCAGCAGUGGGGAAUAUUGCACAAUGGGCGGAAGCCUGAUGCAGCGACGCCGCGUGGGGGAUGACGGCCUUCGGGUUGUAAACUCCUUUCGACCGCGAGGAAGCCACCUGGUUGGAAGGGUGGUGACGGUAGUGGUAGAAGAAGCACCGGCUAACUACGUG